rnacentral:rRNA from 1 species
UACGUAGGGUGCAAGCGUUGUCCGGAAUUAUUGGGCGUAAAGAGCUCGUAGGCGGUUUGUCACGUCUGCUGUGAAAACUGGAGGCUCAACCUCCAGCCUGCAGUGGGUACGGGCAGACUAGAGUGCGGUAGGGGAGAUUGGAACUCCUGGUGUAGCGGUGGAAUGCGCAGAUAUCAGGAGGAACACCGGUGGCGAAGGCGGUUCUCUGGGCCUGUACUGACGCUGAGGAGCGAAAGCGUGGGGAGCGAACAGG